UGGGACUGAGACACGGCCCNAGACUCCUACGGGAGGCAGCAGUGGGGAAUAUUGCACAAUGGGCGAAAGCCUGAUGCAGCGACGCCGCGUGAGGGAUGACGGCCUUCGGGUUGUAAACCUCUUUCAGCUCUGACGAAGCCUUCGGGUGACGGUAGGAGCAGAAGAAGCACCGGCUAACUACGUGCCAGCAGCCGCGGUAAUACGUAGGGUGCGAGCGUUGUCCGGAAUUAUUGGGCGUAAAGAGCUUGUAGGCGGUUUGUCGCGUCUGCUGUGAAAGCCCGGGGCUUAACCCCGGGUCUGCAGUGGGUACGGGCAGGCUAGAGUGUGGUAGGGGAGACUGGAAUUCCUGGUGUAGCGGUGGAAUGCGCAGAUAUCAGGAGGAACACCGAUGGCGAAGGCAGGUCUCUGGGCCACUACUGACGCUGAGAAGCGAAAGCGUGGGGAGCGAACAGGAUUAGAUACCCUGGUAGUCCACGCCGUAAACGUUGGGCGCUAGGUGUGGGUCCCAUUCCACGGKGUCCGUGCCGCAGCUAACGCAUUAAGCGCCCCGCCUGGGGAGUACGGCCGCAAGGCUAAAACUCAAAGGAAUUGACGGGGGNCCCGCWCAAGCGGCGGAGCAUGCGGAUUAAUUCGAUGCAACGCGAAGAACCUUACCAAGGCUUGACAUGUACCGGAAACUCCCAGNAGAUGGGNGGCCCCGCAARGUNCGGUACACAGG
rnacentral:rRNA from 1 species